UUACGGCCAUCUCACUUUGAAACACCGGUUCUCGUACGAUCACCAAAGUUAAGCAACGUUGAAGUUGAUCAAUACUUAGAUGGGUGACGUCUUGGGUAUACUGAAAGG